GCCAGCAUGGUAUAAUGGUUUGAGUACUGGGCUAUGACUCUGGAGACCAGGGUUUGAUUCCCUGAUUGGCC